AACUACUAGAACCAAAUAGGCUUUCUACAUAUGCAUCGUCUAAAACAACAAUGUUUAACAGCUGUAGCAAAGAAAGAAACUUCAUAGAAGUCAAAAUAGGAAAAAAUAAAAAUGCCUAGCAACUUUUUCUAUGGAUAUAAGGCUUUAAUUGAUAGAGAGAGAGGAAGCACCUAUCAAUUAGUGAGGUUUUGGGCCGAUACAAUAAUAACUGCAUACUUAUCUCAUAAUGUGAGAUAAGAAUUAGGAAUUAACUUAUGUAAUAGAGUCGAUCCACUAAAGUCUUGAGCAGCGGUGUGGGAUC
rnacentral:lncRNA from 1 species